AGCGUAGGCGGACUUUUAAGUGAGAUGUGAAAUACCCGAGCUCAACUUGGGGGCUGCAUUUCAAACUGGAAGUCUAGAGUGCAGGAGAGGAGAGUGGAAUUCCUAGUGUAGCGGUGAAAUGCGUAGAGAUUAGGAAGAACACCAGUGGCGAAGGCGACUCUCUGGACUGUAACUGACGCUCAUAUGCGAAAGCGUGGGGAUCAAACAGGAUUAGAUACCCCAGUA
rnacentral:rRNA from 1 species